AUUGAACGCUGGCGGCAGGCCUAACACAUGCAAGUCGAGCGGAUGAAGGGAGCUUGCUCCUGGAUUCAGCGGCGGACGGGUGAGUAAUGCCUAGGAAUCUGCCUGGUAGUGGGGGAUAACGUCCGGAAACGGGCGCUAAUACCGCAUACGUCCUGAGGGAGAAAGUGGGGGAUCUUCGGACCUCACGCUAUCAGAUGAGCCUAGGUCGGAUUAGCUAGUUGGUGGGGUAAAGGCCUACCAAGGCGACGAUCCGUAACUGGUCUGAGAGGAUGAUCAGUCACACUGGAACGGAGACACGGUCCAGACUCCUACGGGAGGCAGCAGUGGGGAAUAUUGGACAAUGGGCGAAAGCCUGAUCCAGCCAUGCCGCGUGUGUGAAGAAGGUCUUCGGAUUGUAAAGCACUUUAAGUUGGGAGGAAGGGCAGUAAGUUAAUACCUUGCUGUUUUGACGUCACCAACAGAAUAAGCACCGGCUAACUUCGUG
rnacentral:rRNA from 1 species